GGAACAGCUGCUCCCUACCACACUUCACGGUCUCGAAAUCUCUGGAGUGAAUAGGCUGAAAUCUUUGAAGGGAAAGGGACUUCAACACCUCAAUUGUCUCCAAGAGCUCGAAAUUACAAGCUGUCGUCGUCUCAAAUUCCUGCCAAAAGAGGGUUUUCCGGCAUCGCUCUCUUUUCUGAGCAUCAAAAAAUGUCCUUCUCUGAGGAAGAGGUGUCGGGAGAAGACGGGAGAAGAGUGGAGCAAGAUAGCUCACAUUCCUUGCAUCGAGAUAGAUGAUCAAGUCAUCAUUUGAGAUCUCAAAGUCAAAGUCAGAUAGCAAACUGUGCUGUAAAGUUUGAAUUACCUAAGUCCAUUGCUUCCAUCAAUUAGUUGUCUAUGAAUGGUUCCCUUGCAGUGUGACAUGUAUAUGAUUCUCCUUCAAUUGGAUAGAUCUGUUUUGGUACAUACACAGCUGAUGAAGUGAGAACGGGCGACGAUGAUCACAAAACAAAAAUGAGAGCAAGUUUCUUUGGAGCACUGCCCUCAUGCUUGCGCUUGUUGGAAGUUAGUACAUUAUGUUACAAGAGCAGGAUUAUUCAUAUAUGUUGAGCUGGGGUAUGGAAAAGGAAAGCACUUGCUUUGGCAUCCUAUCGAAACGGAUAAGAGAAGAAACAUGAUUUUCAUAAUUUGAUGUGGAAAUGAAGUGGGAGAACGCAUUGAUCUGCAGCCUAUGAGCAUCUUAUUCUCUGGAAGGGUUCCAAAGGAACUGAGAGAUUACAGCAGUUUGCUCUACCAUUGGGGAUGUUAUGAGCUAUCCCAGGACAAAAGGCAGAGAUGGUGCUGCUGCUAUGAGCAAUAAGGAUGUCAGUGCCAAGGCAGUCAGAAAGCAUCGUAAAGUCAAGGAAUGGCCCGGGAAUAUUGAGACUCAAGCGGUUGAUUUUGGCAGCAGAGAUGGCAAUGUGUGCUGAUUCACCUGGCAAACAAGGGAAGGAGAAUGAGCUUGAUCAGAGCGAAGAUGUGAAGUGCUCUGAUGCAGCAAAACAGGACGAGUUGAUGGAAAUUUGUAAUGAAGCAGAGAUGGUGGUGCUGCUGUGAAUGAGAAUGAUGCCAAGGGCAAGGGCAAGGGCAAGGCUGCAAGAGGGUUUCGCAGGGUCCAGGAAUGUCGCAUUUAGAGCAGAGAGGCUGAUCUUGAGCUUCCCCUACCUCAAGGCACCAUUAGUUACUGAGAAUGUGGGAAAUUGUCUCCAAUUUUUGAAGUUCUGUGAAACUUUUUGAGAGUCCAAAGCUGAAUCUGUUCUUCGAGAACAAUUGCGUGGGGGAAGUGGACAAAGUGGAUGGCCUGGACAGUACUCCAGUGUUCAUACAGGAGAGAGAGGCCAGGCCAUUAGUGGAGUGGGGUGGGGUUUGCAACGACUUGUCUUCCUUCAAACAUUUGGGAUCACUGGUUGCAAGGAUCUGUUGGAGAUGUUGCUCAAGGAACAGCUACUCCCUUCCACUCUUACACUCUCCAAUCUAUGGAAUAAAAGUUCUGAAAUCUUUGGAGUGAAAGGGACUUCAACACCUCACUUGUCUUCGAAAGCUCAAAAUUAGAAGCUGUGAUAAUCUCGAAUUCCUGCCAAAAGAUGGUUUGCCGGCAUUACUUUCUUUUCUGAGAAUCAAGUGCUGUCCUUCUCCGAGGAUGAGGUGUCAGGAGAAGACGGGAGAAGAGUGGAGCCAGAUAGCUCACAUACCUUGCAUACAAAUAGAUGACGAAGUCAUCGUUUGAGAUCUCAAGUCAAAUUUAGGGCAUCCUUCUGAGACGAGGUAUGACAAGAAACAAGCAUUUUCUUAAUUUGAUGAUGAACGAGCAAAACCAUGUGAAGUUGCAUACUCAAGGAUUUUGAAUUCGAAGAAUGGUGAAAGAAAAGCACAUGGAUCUCCUUUUGUUUCUGAGUUCCUUGCAUGAAUAUGCUGCACAUUUUGGAUGAAAUGGUUUUCGGAAUGAAAAGAUGAUCAACUCAUGUGCACAGGUGGCCAUAUCCACAUCAAUAUGAAUUUCACUAUGGGAGUUGUUUAGUCAAUAUUUAGGAAUAAGCAAUUCAGGAAAACUGGUUCCAACAUUUUCUUAUAUUUUUGGAUCUUGUGAACUGUUGACUGCGAAAUUCAACUAUGAUCUGAGUGAGGUCAAAAUUAUGUCACUAACAUGUUUGUUGGCUUUACUGGUGCAGAGAGCAAACUGUGGAAUUGUAAAGAUAGGAUUAUAGGAUUAUCUAAGGCCAACAAUUUUAACAUCCAUCAAUUAGUUGUCCAGGAAUGGUUCUCCUGCUGUUUGGCGUGAAUAUGAUGCUCCUUCAAUUGGAUAGCUGUGGAAGUGAGAACGGGGUGACAAUGACCAGGUUCAGGUUUCCUUGGAGCACUACCCUUAUGCUUGCGAUUAUUGGAAGUCAGCAAAUUAUGUUACUAGAACAGGUGGGUGGUUGCUGCACUACACUUUUAACAGGAACUAUUUCUUAUGUUGGACACCGCAGAUGAGCUGUAAGCCUGAAUAUCAUGUAGAGCUGGGGUAUGGAAAAGGAAAGCACUUGUGUUGGCAUAUCGAAAUGGAUAUGGGAAGAAACAGGAUUUCACAAUUUGAUGUGGAGGCGAAGAGGGAGAAGAAUCGAUCUGGGGGUAAUGCUCUUGUGAACGUCUUAUUCGCCAGAGAGUGAUCAAUUGGAACUGAGAGAUCACAGCAUUUUGCUCUACCUAGGGUCGUCCAUUACGGAGGCAACCAUCUGAUUCAUUAAAAUUUAGGUGGAGGAUGGUCAGAGCAGGCUGUCAAAUGUUAGAAUUUUUCUUGGCAAGAACGGGCCACGAGCCAGAGGCCUUCCAAAACUCGGUUUUCAAACAACGAAGAAAACUUGCAGGUUCCCAUCCUCCUGAAAGCAAUGAAGAAAACGCGCAGGUUUCCUAGAACUUCUGAAAGCAUCGAAGAAAACGCGCAGGCUUCCCAGAACGUCUGAAAGCAUCGAAGAAAACAUGUAGCUCAGUCCUAAGGCUAAUUAAGUUUUUAGGCAUCAGAAGACAAAGUAGGUUUACAUCCAAGUUACAAGUAUUUGGCUGCCCCAGCUUCUGCAUAAAACUCCUAUAUGGGGAAGUCGUUUCUGCUUCGGAUUUCUCUGUAUGGCACUGCUGAUUCGGAGGGGGAAGUGAUCUUAAGAAGCCGGCCAGCUGCCUCAGACAAAGAAGUGUGGUUUUAAACUUAUGAAUAGUGUGCAGAAGGAGAAAACGCAUGUGCGAAAAGUAUUUUUCUUGUUUUUGUUGUAAUAUCUGAAGACAUUUUGGUAUCAACUUUCUUCUUAAGUUAAUGCGUUUCGAUGUACUUUCAUCCGUGUAGCAUAUUACACAGCAGUUUU
rnacentral:sRNA from 1 species